rnacentral:lncRNA from 1 species
GUGAUAAAUAGAAAACCUCGGGCAGAAUAGGAUUUCCUUCGAGAUUAAGCUCAAGAAUGCAGCAAGUCAGGCUUAAAUUCGUGGUAAGUGUCUGAACGAAGGUGGAUGUCAGGGUGCAGUAUGAAAGGUCAAGUUUAAGAAAUUCCUGAGAUCCGCUGGACAAUGAAUCAGUCAACUGCAAAGCCCAUUCCUGCAUUUGGAAUCAUACAGUUUUAUCAAUGAUAAGCAAGAGAAACUUGGCUGCAUGAACAUGGAAAAUGUGAAUGAUACAGCAAGAUGUCAGAGCGACCAACAUUUCCUAUGCCUACUAACAAAGAUAAGUCUACUAGUCUGAGUACUCCAGCCAGUGUGUCAUAUAGCUUCUGAUAACCCACAUGGACAAACCAAGGUGGUAUUCAUGGAAGUUCAUAACUGUGCCCGAGAGUUUCAAAAGGAUACUCAAUUUGUUUCCUAUGAAUAAAACUUGUAUCGGACACAUUAACAAGAGACUGAUCUUUGAGAUUCUGGUAACUAGGGGCAAGAGAACCACAUCUCAACUCCAUAAUAGAUGGAAGAAAACUAAUGGAUGAUGUCCUUGUCAAUGUGUCCUUAUCAAGAGCGCCAACAUAUACAGAAGUCGGACUCAGACAGAGGGAAAACACAUCCAAGAGUCUUGCUGCAGUUACCUACGAAGACCAGUAGCGAAAAUCAGACAAUACACGCAGAAAGUGAUAAGAUAAUAUAUUGUAGAAAAUUAUUACAGAUAAGUUAAGAGUUAUUUGUUGUUGUUAAUUAUCGUGUAUAGUAUUGGAAUUCUUUAUGAAUCUUUAGGUAUUGAUCCUUGAUUUUAUUGAACCUCUAGGGCAGACUUCAUCCAUAUAUACACGGUAGAGAUUAGGCUUUCCUAUCUUAGAAUCCUAAUAGGUAUAACUACUAUAUUUACUGAAGUUGGAAGAAAAUCAACUUGUAAAGCUGCUGUCUGAUAGCCAUGCAGCAUUGAGCAUCAUAAGGAAUCCAGUUCACCAUGAUCGUACAAAACAUGUUGAACUGGAUAGACACUUCAUCACAAAAAAAGAGACAAAACAGAAGUUUGAAAUGGAUUAUGUACCUUCAAAACUGCAGAUAGCAGAUAUCCUAACUAAGGCUCUACCUCAAAAAGCAGGAUGUGGGGUAACAUGGUUACUUGGGAAGCAAGAAGCAGGAUGUUGUUGCCUGCAGUAGUAUUGAAGUUGAGUAUCAAGCAAUCUCACGAGUCACUAAGGAAGGUGUGUGGAUCGAAAGGAUACUAACUGCUAAGUGAGCUAACUUAUGGUGUAGGGUCCUAUACAAAUAGUGUGGAACACUCUUAAGCUACUAAUAUCGUUGUAAACCAUGAUAGGGCAAUACAUGUUGAAAACGGUUACCACUUUAUUACUAAGAUAGUGACAAAUGGAGUUGUGCAGUUAAAGUACAUCUUGUCAGGGCAACAAACCGCUAAUUUGUCCAUGAAAGACAUUACUAGAAACCGUCUUUGACAAACUUAGGAUGCUUAACAUCUAUAUUGCAAAGGAGCUAGUAGUUAGGUCUCCUAUUUUGUAGCUAGCCUGUUUAGUAGUUAGCUUAUUUAAGGAUUCCUACUGAUGGGAAGAGUCCCUUGUUCUCUUGUAUAAAUAAGGGGGUUGUCUAAUGCUAAGGUAAUACGCCGAUACAGAAUUCCCCUACACUUUCUUCUCUCUAGGUCUAACAUAUUUCAUACAUGGUUUCAAUCAAGACACACAAACUAAAAUUUGAAUCUUGAUGUAAGGGGAGCAACAAAACAAUAAAUAAGCACCACAACUAAGUGCAUUCUCUGAGCACCUACCGGAUUUUUGGAGGUGGUCCAACACAAAUAGAGGACCAGAAUAGUAAAUGACAACUAACAAUUGUUGUGCAUGGAAGAGAGCCAUUGAUUCGUCACCACCAAGUGCUACCUUUGGAAGCUUUUCAAUUAUCCUAAUUCAAGAGAAGGGCAUAACACUGUAUUCGCAUUCUUAUCAGCUUGGUAAAUUCCAAUCUGCUCGUACCCCCAAGUCCCGUUCGUGUAUCCUUCACUUAGGAACAACUCUAUAUGUCUCACAUCAAGUACCUGCAUUGCACCACCACAAAAUCCUAUGAAUGCAAUUGGCCACUAACUGUUCACAUAAAAUAGAGCAAUUUGAACUUGUAUUCGCCGAACCAUAUCCCACCAAUUAACCUAAUUCUGAACCACUCACCCAAGCAUCCGCAAAGGCAAUCGACAAAGUGCACAUCUGACAAUGUCAUUAAUCAUCCAUAAGAUUUCGAAUUACAGUUAAUCAUUACAAGGCCAAACAACUUCAAAAGAUCUUACCGGCUUUCCAGAUUCCCCUUUUGAGGCCAUCUAACAAACAAGCACCGGUGGUUGCCAGCAUAUCUUUUGGAGUAUGGGGUUCCAUUAUAGCCGCCGGUAAGUCGAGCCUCUGCGUAACCAAGACCUGGACUGAGAUCGCCAAAUUCCUGGACCCACAAUCAAUGAUGCAGCUAGCAGAAACUUCCCCGUGUUUCAACACCGUGAUUAUGCAAGACUUCUUGUGGAGGUUGCCUUGCUUGAGUGUCUUAAACGUUCCAGCUCCUCCGGAUCCAAUGAGAUUCAGAUGGUUUGAUCUCUAUAUUUCAGCAAUCAAUAAAUCUCUAACUAUUCUAUAAUUCCUCUGCACCUAAUGGUUUCCACUCAUUCAUCAUAUAUUAAUAAUGGUUGAUGUUCUUAUAGGUGAAAACCGUGCUUAUACAUUUCGUGAGAUGGAGACACAUAUUGGUGAAUUACCUUCUCUUUGAAAUUGUGUUUGAAAUUUUUUUGUCAAACAACUUUUGGAAAGUUUAAUGGCUUGAUUGUUAUUAUUCAGUUGCUUUAAUGAUGAGCUGAUUUUCAUAUAAAGAGAAGAAUACAUUCACUAAAGCAACUGAGUAAUAACAACCAAGACACUAAACUUUCCAAAAGUUGUUUGACAAAAAAAUUCCAAACACAAUUUUAAAGAAAUGGUAAUUCAUCAAUAUGUGUCUUCAUCUCACGAAAUGAAUAAGCAUGGUUUCCACCUAUAAGAACAGCAGUCAUCAUUAACAUAUGAUGAAUUGAGUGGAAACCAUUAGGUGCAGAGGAAUUAUAGAGUAGUUAGAGAUUUACUGAUUGCCGAAAUAUAGAGAUCAAACCAUCCGAAUCCCAUUGGAUUCAGAGGAGCUGAAACGUUUAAGAUGCUCAAGCAAGACAACUUCCACAAGAAGUCUUGCAUAAUCACGGUGUUGAACCACGGGGAAGUUUCUGCUAGCUGCAUCAUUGAUUGUGGGUCCAGGAAUUUGGCAAUCUCAGUCCAGGGAUCCAAUUCGUAACUGGUUUCGGCCAAUCGAGUUCACAAAAUCUAUAAAAAAAUUAGUUCAAAAUAAAUGGAUGGCAAACGAUGCAUGAUGGGUCAGAUCUGACAAUUUGAACCCCGAUAAGCAUGAUCAGAACUGAAGUAACUGCAGAGAUCAUCAGGAUGAUCAAAAUCUCUGAACAAAAGUGAAACUCAGUUUUUAGGCUUGUUGGAAAUGUAGCUCGGUUUCUGAUUUCCAAACGGGAGGCUGCGGCCAGGGAACGAGGCAAAGCACAUUAAGCGUAGCUGUAAUCAGCUUGAUUUGAAAUAGCACCGUUCAUUUUCUUAGUAGCCAAACAGUACUAAAACGAACAAAUAUGGCAGAAAAACGAGUGGAUGAAAUCCGCGUGGAAUCCAACUCAAAAUCAGAGCGAGUUCGUUCAAACACAUGAAGAGCAUAGACAUCUUCGAUCUUCUGAUCUGUAUUCCUUACAAACUACGUUCGGCAGCACAGCAAACAACUCAAAGCACAAAAUCAAGCAUAUACAACAGCUCAAAGAAAUGUGAUUCUACGAUUUGACCAAUCGGCAUGGAUGAAAAUCCGAUGGAAUAGUUUUCUACAGAGAUAGUGGAAAGAGAGCUUACAAGGUGAAGACGUUUACGGAUUGAUUAAAGCACUUUACCAAUUAAAAACUGAAUCAUUAUUUGAUGUCUUAAUAUUUAAAUUAAACCAUACCUUAAUUUGAGUAAAUUACGAUAUUAUCUUUUCAUAAAAUGGAAAUCCAUAUAAGAAUUUAUGUAUAUUGACUAAUUUAAAUACACACAAACACACUCAAACAAAAAUCCGAAGAAAAAAUCAAAAAUCGUGACCGUUUCAGGUGCGAAAUUGAAAAAAAAAUUAGAUAGGAGGCCCUGGCCGGCCGCCCGAUUCGGCCGAGAAUGGCCCGGCUGGCCCAACUUUUUUUUAAAUAGUUGAUGUAUGUAAUUAGUGUAAUUAGGAUAAUUAGAUAACUAUUAGUGGGUAAUUAGUGUAAUUAGAUAAUUGUUAGUGAGUAAUUAGGAUAAUUAAAUAGUUGUUAAUGAGUGAUUAGUGCAAUUAGAUAAUUGUUAGUGAGUAAUUAGGAUAAUUAGAUAAUUGUUAGUGAGUAAGUGAUUUUGUUAGGAAAUUGUAUAUUAAGCGAACUUGGUUUAGAAGAAUGCGAAUUUUAUUAAAACUGUUCAUUUGUUUAAAUGCAAUUUGCUUAAAAAUAUGGCGAAGACAAAGGGUGGAGGUAAAUCAUACAGUUAAGAUCCGGUAGAGGAAGAAACAGAUGGGAUCCAAAAAAUGAGAGGAAAAAGAAAACCAAACGGGCAUUUUAGAUCGGAUGAAAGAGCGAGUGAUCACCGACUAUGAACGUCAAAACUGAUGCAAGUGGUAUAGUUUCAGCUCCUUCUCGUCAACCUCCUUAGAGUACAUACUAUAAUUGCAUGGGAUUCCAUGAGUUGUCUCAACUACACAGUUACAUGGUGUAACCUUCGAGAGCUCCUCUGUCAGAAGCUCAAUUUCCCACGCUGAGACUGCAUUAUUGAGAUAUACGAAUGAUUGUUUGUGCGCGUAACGAUAUACCUAGGAGGAAUGAAACAAAACAAGUUAGUGCUUUUGACAUAACUAGUUACAGUAACAAUAUGUAAAUAACUAGUUAUUGCCACAUGAAAUAUAUAUAACUAGUUACAACAACGGUGUGUAAAUAACUGGUUAUUGCCAUAUGAAAUAUGUAACUAGUUAAGGCAACAAUGUGUAAAUACCUUUACGCAAGAGUCAUCCAAGGUCUUUUGAAUUUCAAUGACCAGUCGUCCGAUGGAAGCAUGGUAGCCCUCAAAUAGAAAAUCAACACCCUGAUUCGAAGAGUUGUACCACGACUUCAACGACGAGUGUUGAGAUUCCACCCUAUUAGUGCUCGCGUUUCCAAUAUGGAAACCUGAUUUGUGUCGCAAUGGGCCCACAGGGUCUUAUAAGGUAGCCACUCAUUCUCUAAGUACAGGAUCAAUCCUCCAAUGUUGGCUCAAUCACUGUCGGUCAUGCGUUCCCACUCUUCGUAAAAUUCUUCAUGGAAAAGUGCGUUCAACACUUUAUUCCAUCUCCUGUGCACAAAAGCCUCAACAGAUUUCUCACUCUUCGUGAUGAAUUUUAUUUUGGCAAUAAUAUUCCUUUUCAUGUGCCACACGCAAAGUAAGUGUGGUGUUUCCGGGAAAAUAGUCUGCAACGCAACAACCAAUCUGCGCUCCUUAUCAGUCACAAAUGCUAUUGGUUGUCGCUCGCCCAACAACGUUCUGAACUGAUUCAACACCCAACACAUACGUCUCAACCUUUUCAUUCUCAACGAGUACGAAUCUGAUACUAAAGUUCUUCUGCAUCAGAGUCACACCGGUCAACUGGAUCACUGCUUCCUAUACUUGUUGGUGUUGAAGGUCGAAUCAAUUAGAAUGACGUAAUACGAAGCCCCCAACAUCUGAGCAAUCUCGGGGUGGCUGAGAAAAAGGUUGGCCAAAUUUUUUUCGUCAUCAUCUGUAGACUGAACGAAGUACCGCAAUCGUGUAGCGGCUCUCAAUGUCCAAUCCGUCGAACUCAUGGCUCCUAAUUUUUCUUUUCUAAUCUUGUACGACUCGUUGUAUAUCUGGUUCAUACUAUGAUGAGAAUUGAACUUCUUGUUCAAAGCGUACCUAAACUUGUUCGGUUGUGUGUGAGUCGCAAGUAUGUCCCUAAUUUCGCUCUUCUCUUCAUUCGUAAGUGCAUUACUUUCUGUGCUAGCUUCGGAAUAUGACACAAAAAAAUGAUUGUGAUAUCCUUUUGAGAUUGUAGGAUUGUUGGUGUGGCCUACACCGUCAAUACAGAAUUUCCACUCGCCACCUACGACCCGACACCUUCACACUUCUUUGUCGUAAUACGUUUCGGUUGGUCGGAACAUGAGGAUUUACGAGCAGGUCCCCGAGAGCAAUACAGAUACACACCAUACUCUCGCUCUGCCUUAUUUAUAUUGUUGGAUCCUUUAGUCAACUUGAAAUUAAGCGUCUGGGAAAUUCACUUUGCAGCUUCACAAGCUUCCUCGGCAGUAUCGUAAACAUCGUCGGAUAAAAAUUGUUCGAUGUAAUUGAUUCUGUCACCCUUACUCACCAAUGAAUCUCCGUACAUUAUGGGCCCACCAAACAAUUAUCAAUUAUCUACACAAUUCCGUAUUAAUUCACUUAUUUCUAUAACAAAAUUAAUGACCACUUACCGAAUGCUCAUGACGAGUUAGUGCAUCCAACGAACGUUAAAAUCACGUGACGAAUGUGAUUAUCUGGAAAAAUAUUUAAGAAGAUCGUUAAAAAAUUUCGGCCUGACGGAAAUAUUGGCCGGAAGACCACCGAGCCGGACCAAAAAAUCGACCACCAAGCCUCCCGGCCGGCCGCGAAUUUCGGCCGCAGAAGAAGGGAAGAAACGUUUUCCUCAACCUCACUGGCGGAGGAUCGUAGCGCCUGAAGUUCACGAGAGAAAGGGAUUGGGGAUGUUGCCGCCAUAUCACUAUCUUCAGAUGGCGACGAGAGCUUGAAGAUACAAGUUCCAAACCUACUACUUAUUUUCUUAACCCACAGAUUCUUGGGCUUUGAUAAGUAAUACACAAUAUUUUCUUCAUUUCAGAUUGAACUUUUUUCAGAUUUGUAAUCUAUGUUUGGAUUAACUGGUUUGAUUACUAUUUGUUCGGUAGGAUGUCAUAUUAAAUAAAAUUGGUUGAAUAUUUUAUUAUUAAUUUAUAUAUUUUAUUUUAGUUUAAUAUGAUUAACGGUUUAAUCGGUAUAAAAUUGUGAAUGAAUGAUUAAAUUUUUUAUCCUUACAAUUACAAGAGAUGAUAUCAAACUUGGUCAAGUUACAUUUAAACUUCAACAAAAUAGUCGUAACUCGUACUUAUAAAAAAUCGUAAAUAAAAAAAUUUAAACGCGGUCAUCAUCCAUCCAACCUAUAAACAUAUAAGUAAGAUAUGAAUUGAGGGUCUUGUUACCCACUCAACCAAUUCAUCUUUAUUGUGCAUUUCAGUUAUUCUUUGUAACUACAUACUACAUAGUGUCAUAAUAAUUAGUUGUUACAGCCUUACAGAUAGGUAGUUUUGUUAACAAGUGGUUCAGGUAAUAGUACAUUGACCAUCUUUGCAGCACAAGGGUAUGGGCAGAAUCUGAUUGCAGCACAAUCCGCAAAUCAAGGUGUUUGUAUUUUCUACGGCAGACGGAGCUGACGCAGCCGCCACGGCCGCCGGCGACGGUGGGGGGUACUUGCUGGCGCAACAUUGUUGAGGCUGUAGAGUUGUGGAGAGAAGAAGAAGAGUUGCUAACAUUACAAACUUGUAGUAGUUUUCCACCUUCAAACCCAUCGUCAUCAUCAUCUUGUGGUUAGAGAUUGAAUUGUGUGAGAAACACCCUGAUCGAGAGCAUUUGUAUAUAUAGAUAGAUAGAAAGCAGCAUGAACAGUGUAUAACAUUCCGUGCAUACUAGUUGUGUGAUGAUCUUCUUACAAGUAUGAUGCGUACAGAGGAAUGGAAAUAUGCAUGUCAUUAGUUCAGCAUUUCCUAUUGUGGUUUUGACGUCUAGGGCACGAAUUGAUUCUCAUUCCCUUCUGCAGCACGGCUUGCUGCAACACUUUUUUCCUGCAACUGAGAAAUGGACUAUUUGGUCUUUAACGUGCUUCUGAGCUGAGGAACCCUUCUUCCCCACUCUCCACGAACCAUACAAUGCUUCCGCUUCUUUCACCGAAAGUCCAUUCCUGCUCAAAUCCAACACCUGCAAUGCCUUGGCUGCACUUAUGCCAUCCGACAGCUCCUUAACGAUUUGAGACGAUAUUAUUGGCUCGUCUUCAUUCUUCUUCUUCUUCUUCUUCCCCCAGGAGGAGCUUGUGCAUGUGUCGUUCAGCUCAGAUCGAAUAGCAGCAGCAGCUUCGACUCUGGUUGAAUCCUCACUAUCAGCAACUUCGAGGCCGUCACUCUCCAUGUUUAGUUGACAAUCAACUAAUCUUCCCUCGUGAUCCGCUGGGUCGGAAUGAGAUGCUAUUGUUGCUGUCUGUUGAUCAGUCGUUGAGGCUAAUUUAUGAAGAUCGCCAUUCUCAGCAACAUGGAGUUCCUCCAGCUGAUCAUUCUCUGUGAUACAAUUGUGGUUAAGAAAGGACAGGUCAAAGGAAACUGAAAAACUAUGGGAGAAUUCAUAUAUUCUAAGAACCUGCGAGUGCUUGGACCAAUUGAAGGAUGAGGGGAAGUCCCAGCUGACAUUUGUUUAGGAUGAGAAGUCUCAGGGAACACCCUGGUUGCUUGACUAGUGAUACCAAUGCGCUUCCUCCCUGUUUCAAGAUCCGAGCAAGUUCACCGACUAAAAACAAAAAGAAAAACUGGAAAUUUAGAACUUGUGAGAUAAGGUGAUAAAUAGAAAACCUCAGGCAGAAUAGGAUUUCCUUCGAGAUUAAGCUCAAGAAUGCAGCAAGUCAGGCUUAAAUUCGUGGUAAGUGUCUGAACGAAGGUGGAUGUCAGUGUGCAGUAUGAUAGGUCAAGUUUAAGAAAUUCCUGAGAUCCGCUGGACAAUGAAUCAGUCAACUGCAAAGCCCAUUCCUGCAUUUGGAAUCAUACAGUUUUAUCAAUGAUAAGCAAGAGAAACUUGGCUGCAUGAACAUGGAAAAUGUGAAUGAUACAGCAAGAUGUCAGAGCGACCAACAUU